rnacentral:tRNA from 1 species
GCCCCGUUAGCUCAAUUGGCCAGAGCGUCGGUCUUCGGAACCGAAGGUUGCGGGUUCAAAUCCCCCACGGGGCA